AACGAACGCUGGCGGCAUGCCUAACACAUGCAAGUCGAACGAGAUCUUCGGGUCUAGUGGCGCACGGGUGCGUGACGCGUGGGAAUCUGCCCUUUGGUUCGGAAUAACAGUUGGAAACGACUGCUAAUACCGGAUGAUGACGAAAGUCCAAAGAUUUAUCGCCAGAGGAUGAGCCCGCGUAGGAUUAGCUAGUUGGUGUGGUAAAGGCGCACCAAGGCGACGAUCCUUAGCUGGUCUGAGAGGAUGAUCAGCCACACUGGGACUGAGACACGGCCCAGACUCCUACGGGAAGCAGCAGUGGGGAAUAUUGGACAAUGGGCGAAAGCCUGAUCCAGCAAUGCCGCGUGAGUGAUGAAGGCCUUAGGGUUGUAAAGCUCUUUUACCCGGGAUGAUAAUGACAGUACCGGGAGAAUAAGCUCCGGCUAACUCCGUGCCAGCAGCCGCCGUAA
rnacentral:rRNA from 1 species